CAUUGGUUCUCUCGCGACGAUAGAUUGUGAACCCCGUCAGGUCCGGAAGGAAGCAGCGGUAACGAUUGAUUCGGGCGCCGGGAUGUGGCUGGUGUGG
rfam:Thiothrix eikelboomii strain ATCC 49788 genome assembly, contig: EI61DRAFT_scaffold00010.10